rnacentral:rRNA from 1 species
CCAAUAGCGUAUAUUAAGGUUGCUGCGGUUAAAAAGCUCGUAGUUGAAUUUCGGGAUUGAUGCAUCGGUCGUGCCUUAAGGGGUAUGAACUGGUGUGGUCAAUUUCUUACCUUCUGGUGAAUUGUGAUGUCCUCCUUAAUUGGGUGUUUCAAUGAACUAGGACUUUUUACUUUGAAAAAAUUAGAGUGUUUAAAGCAGGCAUUAUUUGCUUGAAUACAUUAGCAUGGAAUAAUAAAAUAGGACAAUGAUUCUAUUUUGUUGGUUUCUAGGAUCAUUGUAAUGAUUAAUAGGGAUAGUUGGGGGCAUUAGUAUUCAAUUGUCAGAGGUGAAAUUCUUGGAUUAAUUGAAGACUAACUACUGCGAAAGCAUUUGCCAAGGAUAUUUUCAUUAAUCAAGAACGAAAGUUAGGGGAUCGAAGACGAUUAGGUACGUCGUAGUCUUAACCAUAAACUAUGCCGACUAGGAAUCAGACAACGUUAAAUUUUUAAUGACUUGUUUGGCACCUUACG